ACGGGAGGCAGCAGUAGGGGAUAUUGCACAAUGGGGGGAACCCUGAUGCAGCAACGCCACGUGUGGGAAGAAGCAUUUCGGUGUGUAAACCACUGUCGUGAGGGAAUAAUGCUUGGCUCCGGCCAAGUUGAAUGUACCUCGAAAGGAAGCACCGGCAAACUUCGUGCCAGCAGCCGCGGUAAUACGAGGGGUGCAAGCGUUGUUCGGAAUCACUGGGCGUAAAGGGAGCGUAGGCGGAGACGCAAGCAGUCUGUACAAUACCGGGGCCCAACCCCGGACCUGCAGACUGGACUGUGUCUCUUGGAUAGCUCAGGGGCUGGCGGAAUUCCUGGUGUAGCGGUGGAAUGCGUAGAGAUCAGGAAGAACACCGAUGGCGAAGGCAGCCAGCUGGGGGCUUAUCGACGCUCAUGCUCGAAAAUGCGGGUAGCAAACAGGAUUAGAUACCCUGGUA
rnacentral:rRNA from 1 species